AAACACUUUGGCUUGAUUGUCACAUUAAAUUGGACUUAUACUUAUUAUGCUAAUAAUCCUACAAGUCCAUUAUCUUUAGUUAACCAUCUUAACAAUUAUACCCCACAUAUAAUCUUCGUAUGCUAACUCAUAUACUAGUUCGUAAUAUACGUUAUCUCGUUCUUCAUACAUAAUAGUACAAUACGUCGUAUUAUACUUACAUUCAUCAC
rnacentral:lncRNA from 1 species